GCCCCUCCUGCCGCUUCCUCUCUGAACCCGCUGUUGCUGCUGCAUCUUCCUUCUUCCUCUCGACCUCCUGUUGCUCUUCUCCAAGCACCGCUGCUGCUCCUUCCUUGCAACCCCCCUGCUGUUGUUCAUCCUCUCCACCUCCUUGCGCCUCCCUGCCGGUACCCUUCUCUGCUCAAAACUGCUGCUGCUUGUGCACUCCAGCUUCUCCUUCUUCUCCUGCCUACUGCUGGUUCUUCUUCCCCACAUCACUUUUGCUGCUCCUCUUCUCUGCCUCGCUACUGUUCUUCUUACCUGAACCUCAAAAUUGCUGCUGUUCUCUUCUAAACAACAAAACUGCUGCUACUACUACCUCAACCUCCUAUUGCUUUCUUUCUUUCUCACUCUCUUUUAAAUUUCUGUAAGAUUGAGACGCAUGUGAUUUGUAUUAUUCAGAUUUGAUAAGUGUUAGUAAUCUACUGUUGUUCAGUUCAGACUUCCUGUGUGUGUUAAUUAGUUAAAAUUGUCACUUGUGUACUGCUUGUUGCAGAUUCUUGCUCAUUUUUGUUGUCUAUGUGUUAGCUCAUGCAUCUGAGAAUUAUAAAGACAUAUGUGUGUGUGGUUGAUGUGAAACAAUUAUAUAUAUGUCUCAUGUUUGUUAGUUAGUGGUUUGUAUAAAUUCAGAUUACUACUUGUGAUUUAAUUUUGUAUUGAAAUUGUUCUCUGUGGUAGUCAGUUGUGUGAUCAUUCAAUUUUCAGUCUAUGUAUUAGCUCUGUACCUGUAAUAUAUGUUGUGACAUGAAGCAUUUUCAUCCUUGUCCAUUAUCUUGUUUCUUCACUCUGUCAUACGCUUGUUAGAUAAAUAUAUGUGUUCAUGUCCUGUUGUUCCCUUUUGUGUUAGCAUUUUAGUUUCUCAAGUAACAGGAAAACACCAAAAAAGACAAUAUAGACAAUCUGAACCUCCCCUUUGCUUAUUUUACAUUUUCUUUGGCGACGAUCUUCGGGAACUACCUUGUUAGUUUAGGUUUAUUUUCUUGCAUUUAUAAUCUGAGUUCUGUCACCUAGCUUUAGCCGAGCAUUGUUGCUGUCGCCUAGUCCCUGUGGAGAACACGACACUCACAGUUCGGGUGAAAUAUCCCGCAGUACUUUCAAUCGAUCAUUUUGGCGCCGUUGCCGGGGACUAGCGUCGUGUGACCGUGUUAGGCUAUAGACUAGGUUUUGCUUCUGUUUCUAUCUGGUGCCAUAUAUUUGUGAUAUAUCUCUUACCCCUAACCACUGUUCUAGUUAUCUUCUCUUUCUUUUCUUGUUCAUUUUGUAGGUUGAAUUGUCUUCUCGGAUAUGGCUUACUAUUCAGAUCAUCAUGCUUAUGCGAGCAACACUACAAACAACACGGAAAGUAUUCAAGAACUGAUAAGUAAGAUUUCCCAUCAAUUAGAUGAUUUAGCUCAGCAGCGAGGAGUAGUUUUUGAGGAUAGGCCUAGUUCUUAUUAUCCUUAUUCCGGAAGCAAUCCUUAUGUUGCUCCUACAUGCCAUAUUUGUGGAUUUCAGGGCCAUUCGCCCGCUGAAUGUCAGCGUGGUUACUCUCACACUCCAGAUUGUUUUGGCAUGAGCUUCGCUCAAGAGCAUAGCUCAUACCAAAACAAUUACUCACAUGGGUGUCCUGAAAACCCGAAUAUGUCAUAUAGGAGCAACAACCCCGAGAUCUCACCGCUUGCUUCUAGUAAUCAUAUGCAGGGAUUUAGGUAUGAAGAGGAGAGCCACAGCUAUGCUCCACAACAGUCUUAUUCAGCUCCUAUUCAUAUACCUCAGCACGAGGAGAUGUUGCCAAUGGAGUUAAAUGGUCCUCCAUUUGGUCAACCAACACCUUCAACACAAGUGCCUACUCAAGAUGAGUUUGAUGACAUAGACAAGUUCACACUUUUGAGUCUUGAGUUCAGUUGGAGUGCCGAGGAUGAUCCUAUUAGGAAGGUUAUACUAGAUGAAAUGAAGAAGAUCAAGAGUGGGAAUGAGCUAGUGGAAGAAGUAAAGAAGAUUGAGAAGAACAUCAACGCUGGCAGCUCUAUUUCUUCACAGCUAGAGCUGAGUGUUGCUGAGAUUCCCCUUGAUACAUGUGAGGUUCCAACACCUUCACAUUUCGUUGAGCAAGUUAGCAAGUGCCUUGAGCAAGAGAUACCUCAGAUUGAAGAAGAUGAACUAGAAGACAAGGACCAAGAUGGUCAAGAGCUGCAAUUCCCAAGUGAUCAAGUUGAAGACUCAUCAUCUACUACUGAAGAACUACAAGAAGCUGCUGUAGAUAAAGAUGAAGAUCAUGAGAUUCAUUUGCCUAUUGUCAUACCAGAGCGUGAUGUGUCAGGUUUACUCAAUCCUCUUGAUGACAUGAUGCCUUGUGAUUUCUUUGCUACUACCUUGCUUUACAUGAUACUAUCACUUAAGAUUGAUUUGAAAACUCAUUUGCUUGGAUAUGAUGAUAUAUACCCUGUUAGUGGUAUUACUCUCAUUUGUGAUGAUCAUAGUUACUUUCCUCGUGCUAAUCCUAUGCUUAAUGAAACAUAUCACUCCCAUGCUAGUCUUGCACUUAAUGAUAAAUGUCAUCCUCGUGUGAGUAUUGACCAUGCUGAUUUCUGCCAUCCUAAACAUGUGCUUUAUAGUUAUGCUUAUAUAAUUGGAUAUUCCAUUGAUGACUUGGAGGGCAUCGACCGUAUCACUUGUAGUUGUUUGUGUGAGUCCUAUUUCAGGCUUUUGCUACUGCACUGUUUACUACAUGCUGACCAGGUUUGAGGUGACAUUCCUUGGGAUCCUGGUGGAGUCACAGCAUGGCGAUGAGGGGAGCACAAACAGGGAACACAAACAGAGAAGAGUGGAGAGAAGAAAGUAGGAGAGAAGAGUAUACAAAUACCAGGUGAUUCUGUUCCACUUGAAGCAACCUUUAGAAAAUUUAGUACGAGAACUGGCAUUUUAUUGCAUUGAAACGCUUUUUGCAUUGUGACACCUUACUCUUCACUGCAAAGUAGGAUUCACUCCAAGAAGAUUGUUGAUUCUCUUAAUACUAAAACUAUGCAGCAGUAUUCUUCUUAUGGUAAUUUGUGAUAAUGAAUACUUUAUACCUCCAUGUAAAUGUUCAAUGGGAAUGCCUUGAGUCUAAGUGAAACCUACUAAUGAAUUGAUGUGCUGUGUCUGACUGUCCCACGUUAAGCUAAGUAACUGGUGGCACUUAAGUAGUAGCUAUGAUCUCUGGAUCUGUAGUAUGUGAAAAACAGUGCCAUUAGUUAUGGAUUCCUCUUUCAAUUAUUCCUGUUUUACUUAAGCUAAGUAAUUUUCAAAUAACUAAAUAAAAUAAUUAUAAUAUUUUAAGUCCGAUCGACCUAUAGUAGCAUGUCAUGUUCCCUGGAUCGGUGGCUUGUGAAAUCUGGUAGAUUGGACUCUAAAAAAAAAUUAUAUAAAAAUGCUAUAAUUUGUCGAACCAGGUGUAUACCAUGUUCUCGGGAUCGGUGGUAUGUUCCUUUGGGGAGAUAACAAAAAAAUAUACUAAUAAUUUGGUCGAGCCAGGUGUAUACCAUGUUCUCGGGAUCGGUGGUAUGUUCCUUUGGUGAGACUGAUAUAAUAUCAUCACUUGUGCUUUAAAUUCAAUAAGUAACUUGUUUUUCUAAUUGAUUUUGGGGUCCCAGCUUAUCUCAGGGCUGAAGACAGAGCCAGCUCUUGAUUAUUAGUAUUCACUUUGACUCAAGGCCAUUGACUUGGAACAUUUACAGUGUGUUAUAAAAUAUUUCUUAUCACAAUUUAGCUUCAGUAGAGUACAUUUGCUUAGUUCCAGUAUUGUCGGAAUUACUAUCUAUCGGAAAGUGCAUAUUUACUAGGCAGUGUGAGUUGUGUCACCAUCAAAUUUUUUUUCCUUUGCUCGAGGACAAGCAAAGAUUUAAGUGUGGGGGAACUUGAUAAGCACAUUUCUUAUAUACUAUUUGGGCACACAAAUUCACCUUUUAUUGAGAUAUAUCCAUCCAUUCUUGCUAUGACUUGUUGAAUAUUUGAAUGAUAACCAUAAAAGAGAAUGUUGACUAGUGAAUUGUUUAUUUUGCAGAAAAGUGCGCAAAUGCACUAUAAUCGUCAAGACUUCUACUAUGUGGCUAACGAGAAGAGAGAAGGGCAUGAAAGAAAUACGUCAAGGCUUGAGCGUGAAGGAAAGAAGUAAUGUAGGGGAGCAAACUAAAAGAAGAGGAGGAUCUUCUUGGGAAGAAAGAAGAAAGGAGGAGGGCCAAAGUAAAAAAAGACAAAACAGAGGAGGGGAUCAAAAAUCCCUAGCGCAGCCGAUCCCCAUCAGGCCUCGCAUCUCACCUCUCUCCCUCACCCCUCCUUCUCCACCACCGGCCGUCGCCGCGGCCAGGCCGGCGUGGCGGUGCGCCUGCUGCUCCUCCACUCAGCCACGAGCACCAUCCGCCGCACCAUCCAUCCAUCCCAGCCGCGCCGCGCCAUCCAUCCACCACUCCACCAGCGUCACCAGCUCCACUUCACCACCGCGCCUCCACCAGCGCCCACCUCGCGCGCCCCUCCUGCCGCUUCCUCUCUGAACCUGCUAUUGCUGCUGCAUCUUCCUUCUUCCUCUUGACCUCCUGUUGCUCUUCUCCAAGCACCGCUGCUGCUCCUUCCUUGCAACCCCCCUGUUGUUGUUCAUCCUCUCCACCUCCUUGCGCCUCCCUGCCGGUACCCUUCUCUGCUGAAAACUGCUGCUGCUUGUGCGCUCCAGCUGCUCCUUCUUCUCCUGCCUACUGCUAGUUCUUCUUCCCCACAUCACUUUUGCUGCUCCUCUUCUCUGCCUCGCUACUGUUCUUCUUACCUGAACCUCAAAAUUGUUGCUGUUCUCUUCUAAACAACAAAACUGCUGCUACUACUACCUCAACCUCCUGUUGCUUUCUUUCUUUCUCACUCUCUUUGAAAUUUCUGUAAGAUUGAGACGCAUAUGAUUUGUAUUAUUCAGAUUUGAUAAGUGUUAGUAAUCUACUGUUGUUCAGUUCAGACUUCCUGUGUGUGUUAAUUAGUUAAAAUUGUCACUUCUGUACUGCUUGUUGCAGAUUCUUGAUCAUUUUUGUUAUCUAUGUGUUAGCUCAUGCAUCUGAGAAUUAUAAAGACUGUGUGGUUGAUGUGAAACAAUUAUAUAUAUGUCUCCUGUUUGUUAGUUAGUGGUUUGUAUAAAUUCGGAUUACUACUUGUGAUUUAAUUUUGUAUUGAAAUUGUUCUCUGUGGUAGUCAGUUGUGUGAUCAUUCAAUUUUCAGUCUAUGUAUUAGCUCUGUACCUGUAAUAUAUGUUGUGACAUGAAGCAUUUUCAUCCUUGUCCAUUAUCUUGUUUCUUCACUCUGUCAUACGCUUGUUAGAUAAAUAUAUGUGUUCAUGUCCUGUUGUUCCCUUUUGUGUUAGCAUUUUAGUUUCUCAAGUAAUAGGAAAACACCAAAAAAGACAAUACAGACAAUCUGAACUUCCCCUUUGCUUAUUUUACAUUUUCUUUGGCGACGAUCUUCGGGAACUACCUUGUUUAGUUUAGGUUUAUUUUCUUGCAUUUAUAAUCUGAGUUCUGUCACCUAGCUUUAGCCGAGCAUUGUUGCUGUCGCCUAGUCCCUGUGGAGAACACGACACUCGUAGUUCGGGUGAAAUAUCCCGUUGUACUUUCAAUCGAUCAAGUCCAAGGGCCUCUAUAAAUAGGACUAGCCGCCACAGUAGAGAGGCAUCUGAUCCAGACUUUGGAAAGCCUAGAGAGAGAGAGGCGAUCGAACUCACCCGAGCAGUUCAUCGCAUCAGCCCUAGAACACCUCUCGCGAGGCUCUUCUCCCUUUGUACUGUUCAUCAUCAGCCCUUGAGGCAAUCCACCACACCACGCACUGGAGUAGGGUAUUACACCACAACGGUGGCCCGAACCAGUAUAAAUCUCGUGUCCCUUGUCUUGUUCAUCGUUUCCAGCUUAGAUCUCAUGAGGCGAUCGGACAUAGAUCGGUAGGGGAGAGAUCUCCGUGUGCACCCCAGAGUUUGAACCUUAAGGGUCUGCCGGAACCCAACAUCCAACAGCAACAAUGUCCUCAGGCAUAAUCCUAUAUCCGCCCCUGGCAAUAGGAUCAAACAAAGCAGAUGCAUGCAAUGGAAUAAUAUCACGAGUGUCCACACUGAAAACUAGGUUAUAAGGAACGAGAAUGUCAGUGUUCUCGCCAUCAAUAAACUGGUGGUGUGCCAUAGCCUGAUGAUCUAAAUAAACCUUGGGUAAGGAUAAUCAUGCUGGCGUAUCUGAACGUUAAAGUGAUUCGCCAAGCGAGUAGCAUAAAUACCACCAUGUAUUUUACCCUUGGAUCUGUUAAUGUGGAGACGACGUGCCACAAUAGCUCCCAAUCUAUAAGUGUUGUCACCGUAAAGUGCACGACGUAAAACAACAAAGUCUGGAGCACUGAGUGCACCUACCUUCUCUCUAGCAAGUAAACACUUUGUAAUGAAUAGAGCAAAAUAAUGCACCGCAGGAAAGCGUAAACUAUUGUCAGUGACACUCGAUACCCCUCUUUCAUCCCCCACUGUCAGAGUACGGUAAAAACCAUCAAACUCCAUGGGCCUAGGCUCUACUAAACUACCAUCAGAAGGAAGCAUGCAUAUGUCAGAAAACUCAGUAAGUGGUAUCUGAUGGGGUUCAACAUAUAAGUUAAAAUGCACCCCAGGGGGGUUAUUCCUACUCAAGAAUUGAAAGCUUUGCAGAAAGGAAUUUGUGAGGAGAUGGUACUGUUCACAUUCAGCUACGAUGAAGUUGGUGAGGCCAGAAUUACUAGCAUAUUGUGCAAACUCCUGAAGGAUUCCGACCCCUUCCAUGAACGGGUUAUGCGGCCAUUCAUACAGCCAUACCUCCGCCUUUCUCCGGGUAUGGAGAUCACUUUCAGACGACUCCCCAGUAACUCCCUUGGAGUUCUUCUUCGAAGCAAACUUCCUAAAGAUACUCAUCUUUUUCCUAUGAAUAAAAUUAUGAAAUUUGUAGUCCACAAAAUUUUCUCAACAAAACUUCACAAAAUCAAAAGCAACUACUCAUAAGGAUGUAUAGAGGCCAUAGCAAGCAUUCAAACUACUUAGAACUCUAAGAAUUCAACAUGCAAGCUCAACUGCAGUAGCACCAAGAGUAACUAAUUAUUCAAAAUGUAAACCAGUAAAGCAAAAACUAAUUGGGCCAAUGGAGGAGUCACAUACCAAGCAACAAUUCCUCGAAACAGUUUCGGAAACGGAGCUUCGAGCAAAGAGAUCAAAAUCCGCGGGUUCGGGAGCAAGAACACGAGAGAGAGAGAGAGAGAGAGAGCAAUGGUGAUUUUUUUCUAGAGGUAGGUUGUGAUGUGGGAUGAAGAGAUAAGUGAGGGGGCCACAUGGGGACCACAACCCACCAGGGCGCGCCUGGGGGUCCUGGCGCGCCCAGGUGGCACUACUAGGAAAACGGCUAUAGCUAAUAUGGACAUUAAUGGCACACCAUGUAUGUGGUGCGCCACUGCUAUAUAGUAGUGGCGCACUAUCGGGGGUUGGGUGCAACAUAUGCCAAAGGAUGGCUUAUCAUGGUGGAGGCGAGUAGAACGUCGCCGGUGCCUGGAAACGGGAUGAGGCGAAGACAUGCACGCCGACGGAUCUUACCCAGCUUCAGGGCUCUCCGAGGAGAUAACACCCCUACUGCUGCUCUGCGGGGUCUCCGCAUGGUCACUAAGGCAAAGUGAGUACAAGGGUGCUCCUUGAGCUAUUUCUGGAGGUAGGAGAAGGCAAGGCUAGCUCUCUCCUUCCUAUGUGAUCUGGUCUAGUGCUAAUGGAUUCGAACCCUUUGCAUGGGUGCCCUGGGGGGUUUAUAUAGGCCUACCCCCCAGGGGUACAAUGGUAGGACGCGGGUCCUAGCCGUCAGUCUCUCAGGCCGCCGUCUUCUCCGCCGACUGCUGGGGCCCGCCGACUGGUGGGUCCCGCUGACUUGCCUGGUACGGAGCCGACAACCCUUGUCCGCCGCGGGCGGGUCUUGCCGGUUGCGGAUUACUGUAGCCGCGCUUCUAAUGACGCUGGCUUGGUCAUGGGGUCAUGGCAGCAGUGCCGCCGCCCGAUGGGCGAUCACUGUUGCCAUUCCCCGUCGCGUCUGGUUAAUGGCAUGGGGGGCCCGUGGGAGAGGCCAGCCGNNNNNNNNNNNNNNNNNNNNNNNNNNNNNNNNNNNNNNNNNNNNNNNNNNNNNNNNNNNNNNNNNNNNNNNNNNNNNNNNNNNNNNNNNNNNNNNNNNNNNNNNNNNNNNNNNNNNNNNNNNNNNNNNNNNNNNNNNNNNNNNNNNNNNNNNNNNNNNNNNNNNNNNNNNNNNNNNNNNNNNNNNNNNNNNNNNNNNNNNNNNNNNNNNNNNNNNNNNNNNNNNNNNNNNNNNNNNNNNNNNNNNNNNNGGGUCCGUCUUCUGGUGCUAUCGCCGUCUAUUGCACUCCUGCCGACCGGUGGGACCCGCCGUCUCUGGGUCGUAUAGACAAGCCGUCGUGGGUACAGGGCUCCACCCCCAGGGGCUGAUGUCAAGGCUCGCAUGGCAAUAGUGCCACGCCGGACGGAGAUCUCCGUCGGUACGGCACAUUGUGGCCAUGCUUGCCCUCGAUAAACGGGGCGGGAACGAGCCGCGCGGCAGCCAUUCCCCGUCCCGUCCAUUAUUGCGAAGGUACGAGGUGGUUGGAGUCGCGGGCCGACUCCCCAUAGCUGACUUCUCUAGAAGUCGCAGGCCAGGAGUCGGCUUAACUUGGAGUCGCCUCUGGGACUAGGCUUAUCUUGGAGUCGCCUCUGGACUCGGCUUAACUUGGAGUCGCCUCUGGGACUCGGCUUAUCUUGGAGUCGCCUAUGGACUCGGCUUAUCUUGGAGUCACCUCUGGGACUCGGCUUAUCUUGGAGUCGCCUCUGGGACUCGGCUUAUGUUGGAGUCGCCUCUAGGACUCGGCUUAUCUUGGAGUCGCCUCUGGGACUCGAGGGGCGCAGCCUGCCCCAAUGUCUUGAAAGGUUCUGGGACUCGGGUUAGCCUACUCGUGGCCCAUUACUCCGACAGUAGUCCCCGAAGCUAGUGAGGCUCCGAGGGUGAUACGUCGUGGGGCCUCAACAGUUUCAUUCUUCUGGUGGCGGAAUCUGGGCCUUGCUUGCCGUCUUCCUUCUGGCCGACUAUCUGGAGUCGGACUCGUAGAGGGCCGUCUUGCCCCCUAAGGAGUUUGAAAGUCACGGCGGGAACCAGGCGGCGUGCCUGAUACGCUUCCCCGUGGUUGCUUGCUGCAGACCCGUUGCGCGGCGCCACGCGGCAGGGACAGUCUGCCCACCCACGCGCGCGACGGGACAGGCCGUCAGGCGGGGCCUGCCACUACCGCUCCUCGGCACGCGAAGGGAUCCGUUGCGGCCGAGCGGACGGUUGGGGUUCCCACAUCGUUACUGUGCGCAGUAUCUUCGUGGGGUAAAUCGUGGGGGGCAUGGGGUCCCGUGCGUAGUUAAUCCCACGCCUGCCCCAUCGGCUUCUCAGCCUACGGGCCUAUAAGUAGGCGGGGGGUGCGGGACGGCGAAGCACGCGCGCCCAUUCUUCCCUGCUCCCCCGCUUCCUCUUGCCUCUUCUUCCUCUUGUCGUCGCCGCACCAAACCACGCCGCGCCCGCAGCGAUGAGCUCUUCCUCCGCCGCCGCGGCUCCUGCCAUGCGCUCCGGCUUGUGGGACGGCUCCGAGGUGGACGACGACCUCAUCGAGCUCCUCCGUAAGACGCGUCGGCUCCCCGGCGUGAACCUAGUGCAAGCCCGUGCCGCGCCAGCGAGGGAGAUAACACCGGCGCCGGAGGAGGGCGAGCGGGUCAUAUUCCGCUCGCACCUCAUGCGCGGCCUAGGGCUGCCGGCGAGCGGUUUCUUGCGCUCCUUCUUGGAGUUCAACGGGCUCCAGCCGCACCACCUUACUCCGAACACGGUGGUGCUGCUGGCCACCUUCGCCACCCUGUGCGAGGGUUUUCUUGGCGUUCUCCCCACCAUCGAGCUGUGGGGAGAAUUCUUCCAAUCCAAGCUCGGCACGCACGUCGCCAGCGUGCCGGCCCAGUCCGGCGCCUUCAUCGCAAUGCGGAGAACGGCAGCCGACAAUCCGUUCCCCGCCAUCCCGCUGAUCAAGUCGGUGAAGAUGUGGCAGCGGUCAUAUUUUUACGUGAAGAACGUCGCCCCAGAAGGCGACUGGGUUAAUCUGCCGCACUACGAAGCCGGCGCGCCGGAUGGGAGGCUCCCCAGCUGGUCCCACUGGGCCAAGACGCUGACACCCGCAGGCGCCGCCGCCGUCGCGCGACUCCGAGUGCUGACGCAGUCGGAGGGCUUGACCGGGGCCGACUUGCUGGCGGCCUUUGUGGUGCGCCGAGUCCUUCCUCUCCAAGGCCGUCCUCAUCUGAUCAGUCAGAUGAGCGACUAUCGCGACCCGAGUCGGAUGUGCACUAGGGACAUGCCCCACGCAGAGGUGGCGAACAUGGUGAACCACAUCACGAACUGCGAGCUCGCGGCGGAUUGGCAGUUCGGCAAAGAGCCGUACUCGCGCGCCAACCCCCCGCCUGUGGUAAGUCGUCUUUCUGGUUCCUCUGUUUUCUUUGCAGCCGAAUCCGACUUCUGAUCUUUUUUGGUUUCUUCGAGUCAGAACCCCCUCAUGCAGCCUUCGGCCGGCGCCACGGGACCGCCUCGUGAGUUCGUCCCCGACCGAGCGGAGAGCGACGACAACGACCCCGACUUGGGGGCGGCAGCGAUGGAGACCGACGCCGAAGGAGGAGGAGGAGGAGCGGGAGGCGGCUUCAGGCCCUCGACCACCUUCGCCGACUGGCCUGAAGACGACGCCGAGGGGGAAGUCGCCCCGCGCCACCAAUCGAAAGUCAGCCAUCCAGGCGCGAGUUCCUCCGCCGGCUUGGCGGGUCAAGUCGGCGCGAAGAAGCACCGGGCCGGGCCGAGUUCGCUCGGCGGCCGGUCGAAGAAGUUCAAGGGGGCGGCCGCCACGACCAAGCGGGAAGAGGCGGCCGCGAAGGCCAACCGCUUCCGCAAGGAAGUAAAAAGGCCGCCACUCGUCUCUGCGUAAGUGCUCCGUCUUCGACUUGCUUUCUUCUGUCGAACCUCGUCAUAAUUUCUUACAUGCCUUCUCCGCUUUAGGGCCCCCCUUUCCCUUGAGAGGGUCGCCGUCCCCUCCGUCAUGGGGUUGGCCGAGACGUCCGCCAAUACUCGGCGGAUUGACCCCGCCGCGGACCUCCGGGAGGCGACGGAGCGAAACGCGCGGGAGAAGCGCGACGAGGAGGAGGCCGACCGCCUGGAGAAGGCGGAGGCCGAGAAAGCGGCGGCCUCCGCCCAGAAGAAGCUGGAAGAGGCCGAAGCCGCCGUCGCAGCAAGAUGGCGGGCUGAGGAGACCGCGCACCGCCAAUCGGCGUUGCUCGUCAUCCUGCUGAGCUCCGCACCACUGCCCCCGGAGUUCACGGGGCAGACUGGAGAAGCCUGCGGGGAGAACCCCAUCAUGGAGAAGGACGGCGACGAAGCCUUCACGUCGGACACGGCCGCGCCGCCACCGCCGCCUCCGCCGCCGUCUGGGAGUGCGCAAGGUAAGCAGCCGGCGGGCCCGCCGGUGCCGCCGACUAAAGACGAGGCCAUGGCGAAGCUGCUCCUUCAGGUCGCCUCGCCAGCACGCCACCGCCUUGAGAAGGCGACUUCGAAGCCACGGCCCUUGGAGACCGGUGCCGCCAGCUCGGCCAUCCCAGACAUCGAGGGGACGAGCGCCACGCCCGUUGGGUGGGUGCGAGGAGGCGGCAACGGCCCGCUGAACCAGGCGCUCCUGGACGUCCAAGCGAAGCUGCGAGCUGAGGGCGACACCAUCCAGAGCUGCACCAAGGCACAUCUGGCAUCGCGAGCAGCUAUCCGGGUAUGCUUUCUUCUUUGACUUUGUUUUUUCUCGUUCUUCUCUGUGGGGGCGCGCCAGCGCACUCACUGGGUGUAGUCCCCGAGUUUCGGGCCGGCUACUGAGCAGGCGGCCCGGAACUCCAUCUGGCGAGUUCCUCAUAUUUAUCUUUGUCUAAAAUACUUGUUACAGGAGUAUCACAACCUCCGCGUCACUGCCUUCAACCGCAACGUUGAGCAGCUGGGGAAGCGGACUGCCGACUUGUCGGAGAGCCGGAGUGAGUCCUUCUUUUUCGCAGGGGCGCGCCGGUGCACCCGCGGGCUGUAGUCCCCGAGAUUCGGGCCGACUGCUGAGCAGCCGGGCCGGAUCUUCCCGGCGACCUUCUUUGUUGACGACUUAACAUCUUUUUCCUUUUGUUCUUCAGAGGCCAAUGCCGUUCUUCAGGAGCAGCUGGGCGAGGCCAACACUGCUUUGCAAGCCAAGGGGGAGGAGUGCAAUAAGCUUGCCAUAGAGCGCGACCUGCUGGCUGCGCAGCUGGCGAAGCAGAAGGAGCUACUUAAGAAGGCACAGGACGAGGCAGAGAAGAGAGAGACUGCUCUCCUGGCCGAGUUCGAAAGCGAGCGCUCCUCCUGGACCGACAAGGAGGCGAUGCUGACCUCCGGCUUCCUUGAGAUCGAAGACAUCAUCGACGGUGAGUUUCUUUGCUUUCUUUCUUUGAGCCGCUGACUGUAAGUUAGGCCGACUCCUGACUCUUUGUCUUGCUUCUUUUAUGUUUUGGCAGACUUCUUCCCUGGCCACUCGCAGGCGGUCACUCGAGCCAUCGAGGCUCAUCGCGAGGCGUGGAGGGAAAAUGGCGCGGAGAUCGCCGCCAACGCCCCCCUAACCAUCGACGAGCAGCUUCUGAGCAUCGAGACUCAUCUGCGGCCGGCCCAUCAGCUGCUGCGCCGGCUUCAACGUGCCGGUGCCCAGGCGAUUGCCGCCCUGUGGCCAGACAUGCCGGUUCUGCGCACUCCUAGUCGGACUGCCGACUGGCUGGAGGUCGCGGCUGGAAUUCGUCAAGGCUUGGUAUCCGGGGCUGGACCUGGACCGGCUAGCCACGUUCCGGUCAGAGGCCCAGGCAGAGCUGGUGGCUGUGGAAGGCGCCCUCGUCGAGCGUGCGGUGGCGAUUGCCGACUACACAGACACCAGCAUUUUCGUCCCUGAGCGGGCCGCAAACGGCGAGGAGGUGCCGCCGGAGUGGUUCGGGAUGAACCCAGACUACGACGAGGACUCAGCGGAGGUGAUCGGCUCCAGCGCCGAGGAGGAAGGCGAGGCGGAGGAUGGAGGCGAGACGGAGGCGCUAGAAGACGGAGCGGGCGACCAGCCUCAGCUCGACCGCGCCUCCAGCAACGAGCCGCGUCCGACCAAGCCGGCUGCCACCGGAGACGAUCAAGCCGAGACUGCCCAGCUGGCCGCCCCGGUGCCUGACACCGCCGUCUCCUCCGACCCUACGAACCCGUCUGCCGCUUCUUAGGGUGCCGUCUUGCCUUUAUUUUAUCUGCUUUAGUAGUCUUUGAAAAAACUUGUUAAGUUGCACAAUUCCACCCGCGGGGUGUAUUUUGAACUUGGCCAAGGGCCUAUGUUAUGUAAAUAUCUAUCCGAAUUCUAUCUUUCCUUGCUCAUCGCUCUUUUGGCUUUUUCCUUUGCCGCCUUCCCUCAGUCGCCGCCUUGCCAGACGGACAACCGCUCUGCGGACUGCCGCUGGGUCAAAUGCUUGGCUACCUUAGGGAAGGCAAGUACUUGGCCUUUUUUAGAGUCUUUUAACAAGUUGGAUAGAAGGUGGCAAGCCGACUACUCAAGAGUCGGCUUUGCGAAGAGAGGCUGGAAGCCGGCUUGAGCUACGUUUAUGCUUUGGGUCCUUAGCCAUUUUUCGUGUGGGUGCCCAUUCUUCCUUACUCACUGCCCACCAACAGUCGCUCUGCGAACUACGGCUUCUGACAGGAGACGGCUUAGGCACCGCACACUACUUGUCUGACUGCAGGAAGCAUUUCAUAGCGCAAGGCGGCGAGUCCCCGGGCCGACUAGUCGAACCCGGUGCCGAGUGGCAUAACAAAGAGUAACAUACUUGAAGGCAUAAUUCUUAUCAUACAGAUAACAAAAAGGCAAGUCCCCGAGCUCGUCUCGGGGGGCCCGAAGUCUUGGUACUUUAAUACAAAGGAUAGCGUGGUACAUACUGCAUCAACUGUAAAAUCUUCGGAGAAGAUUUGCAUUCCACGACCGUUCCGUCUCUUUGCCGGAGUCGUCCCUCUUGCGUGCUCGGGGCUUUUGAGUCAUUGCCCAGCACUUUGCUGAUGAUGAAAGGGCCUUCCCAAGGCGCUGACAGCUUGUGCUGGCCGGCUGUUCGCUGGAUCAGUCGGAGCACAAGGUUGCCCUCUUGGAAAGAUCUCGGCCUGACCUUCCAGUUGUACUAUCGGCGCAGGCUCUGCUGGUAGAUGCUGGACCGGCUGAGUGCCAACAGCCGGCCCUCUUCCAGCAGAUCGACGCCGUCUUGACGUGCUUCUUCUGCUUCCUCCUCGGUGUACAUGGUGACUCGCGGGGAGUCGAACUCUAUGUCCGUCGGGAUGACGGCUUCAGCACCGUAGACGAGGAAGAAAGGCGUGAAGCCGGUUGACUUGUUUGGAGUCGUGCGCAGACUCCAGAGGAUGGCUGGCAGCUCCUCAAGCCAACAGCCGGCCGAACGCUCAAGUGGUUCGACCAGUCGAGGCUUGAUGCCAGAUAGGAUGAGGCCGUUUGCUCGCUCUACUUGGCCGUUUGACUGCGGAUGGGCAACGGACACUAAGUCCAGUCGGAUGCCCUGCAUUGCGCAGAAACGGGCCAAGGCACCUUUGGCAAAAUUUGUGCCAUUGUCGGUGAUGAUGCUGUGUGGUAUGCCGUACCGAACCGUGAUGUUGGCGAUGAAAGUCACUGCAGUCGGACCAUUCAACUUCUUGAUGGGCUUUACUUCUAUCCACUUGGUGAACUUGUCCACCACGACAAGCAAGUGAGUUAGGUUGCCUCGGGCCGUCUUGAAUGGUCCCACCAUGUCCAGGCCCCAAACUGGGGAUAGUUUUGAGUGCGGAAGCCGACUGAAGCGGCUUGGAGCGGAACUUCUGACACCCCUUGCGUUUUUGGACUAACUCCUUGGCCUCCUCUAGGGCAGUUGGCCAGAAGAAACCAUGUCAGAAGGCUUUGGCGACGAGUGCUCUUGAGGCCGCAUCGUGGCCGCACUCGCCUUGAUGGAUUUCUUUGAGAAUUGCUUGGCCUUGUUCUGGUUCGACGCAACGCUGGUACACACCAGUGUCGCUGCGCCUGACCAGCUCUCUGUUGAUUAUGGUGUAGGCCGUCGCUCGGCGUUGCACUUGCCGAGCCAAGAUUUCGUCGGUUGGCAACUCUUUGCUUACUAGGAGCUUGAGGAUGGGCUGGGCCCACGAGGGUGCUGCUAUUUCUUCAAUUGCCACCAGUGCGACUUGGAUGAGGGCGGCUGGGCUGGGAGGCGGCGGGGUGGAGUCCGCGGCCGCUUGUUGGAUCGCUGAAGUCCCGGAGCCGACUGGCACAGUCCCUGGGCCGACUGGCGCAGUCCCCGGGACGAGCUCUGGAGUCUUCGGACUGGUUGCCGCAGUCUCCGGGCCGGGUUCUGAAGUCCCCGGGCCGGCUUCGACUGCGGUUUUCUUGGAGCCGUCUGUAAGAAUUCUCGUGUCGUCUGUUGGGGCUCUUGAGUCGGAUCCGACUUCUUAGGGAGGAGUCGGCACAAAGAUGGAGUCUGAUUCUGGUGAAGGCUUGAUAGAUGGCUUGAGGAGGCGCUGAAGAGCGACGCCGGAUGGUAUCGCUUGGCGGGUGGAGCCGACCCGUGCCAAGGCGUCUGCUUGGUCGUUGUCAUUUCUUGGCACGUGAAGGAACUCGCACCCCUCGAAGUAUCCGCUGAGUUGCUGCACCAGGAAGCGGUAGCUCGCCAUGUUUGCAUCUUUGGCGUCCCAGUCGCCAGACGACUGCUGGACCACCAAAUCGGAGUCGCCAUAACACAGGAUCCGACAAAUGCCGAGUUAUUUGGCAAGCCGGAGCCCGUGAAUGAGCGCCUCAUAUUCGGCGAUGUUGUUGGAGGCGGCGAAGUGGAUCUGCAGCGCAUACUUGAGCUUGUCACCUUUAGGGGAGGUGAGGACGACGCCGGCUCCCAAGCCGGUGCGCAUCUUGGAGCCGUCGAAAUGCAUCCGCCAAUGGGUGGAGUCGGGCGCUAGUGGCAGGUACUGGGUCUCGGCCCAGUCGACGAGGAAGUCGGCCAGUGCUUGCGACUUGAUGGCGGUGCGGGGCUGGUAGUAGAUGGUGUAGGGAGCCAACUCUAUGGCCCAUUUGGCCACUCGACCAGAAGCAUCUCGGCUCCCGAGGAUCUCGGCCAGCGGGGCUAUGCAAACCAUAGUGAUUGGAUGCUCUUGAAAGUAAGGCUUCAACUUCUUGGCGGCAAAGUGCACGCCGUAGCACAUCUUCUGGUAGUGGGGGUAGUUCUUCUUGGAGGUCGACAGUACCUCGCUCAGGUAAUACACCAGUCUCUGGACAGGUAGCGCCUUGCCUUCCUCCUUGCGCUCCACUACAAUGACUGUGCUGACUACCCGGCUGGUGGCGGCGAUGUGUAGGAGCAUGGGCUCUUUAGGAGUCGGCACCGCCAGCACAGGGGGAGUAGUCAACAUCUUCUUCAGUACAUCAAGUAGUCGGCUGGGUACCUCCAUCCUCUCGAUGGCCUUGAUCUUCACAGGGUUGCACUCUAUGCCGCGUUCGGAGACCAGGAAGCCAAGGAGUUGGCCGGCUGGUACUCCAAAGAUGCACUUCUCAGGGUUCUCAAAGGUUUCUUUGAGGUCUUCCAUCAAUGUCCCAUGCUUUUCCCUCUUCACCACUACAUCAUCCACGUAGACGUGGGUGUUUCUGCCGAGUUGCUUGAGGAGGCACUUCUGCAUGCAAUGCUGAAAGGUGGCGCCGGCAUUCCUCAAGCCGAAUGUCAUGGUCAGGUAGCAGAAGGCUCCAAACGGCGUGAUGAAGGCAGUCUUCAGUCUGUCUGCCGGGUUCAGCUUGAUCUGGUGAUAUCCUGAAUAUGCAUCUAAGAAGCUCAAUAGCUCGCAUCCAGCUGUGGAGUCUAUCACUUGAUCAAUUCUCGGCAGAGCAAACGGGUCCUUGGGGCAGGCUUUGUUGAGGCUUGUGUAGUCAAUGCACAUCCGCCGCUGCUUGUUCUUCUUCAGCACCAGGACCGGGUAGCUAACCAUUCUGGAAAAAACACCUCCAUAAUGAAGUCGGCUGCCAGGAGCCGGGCUAUCUCUUCUCCAACAACUCUUCUCUUCUCUUCUGACAGGCGGCACAAGGGCUGCCUGACGGGCUUCACAUCAGAUCGGACAUGUAACUUGUGCUCGGCGAAUUCCGUCGGUACACCUGGCAUGUCUUUAGGGGACCAUGCGAAGAUGUCUCGAUUCUCACCGAGGAAAUCGACGAGCUCGCCUUCCUAUUUGCUGUCAAGGUUUGCACCUAUGACAGCGUACCUCUUUGGGUGCUCCGAGUCCAAGGGUAUCUUCUUCGUCUCUUUGGCCGGCUUGAACGAGCCCUCAGCUUCCGACUCCUUGGGGUCGGGCGACAUCUCCGGUUGCUUGCCGGCCAUCGCCACAACCCGAUCAAGAAGCCGCUUCUCAGCUGCGAUCACCAGGGACUUAGCCAGCCGACUGCUCUCAGCUGUGCAAGCGGACGACUUUCUGUAGUCGCCGGCUAUGGUCAGAAUCCCCUUGGAACCGCCAUGAACUUGGCCAAAGCAGGUCGGCCAAGCAACGCAUGGUAUGGACUUUCGAGGUCCACCACCUCAAACCAAACUGGCUCUCGGCGGAAAUGAUCUUUGUCUCUGAAGAGCACGUCUAUCAGGAUCUUGCCGAUUGGUGAGCAAGAAAGGCCAGGUACAAUGCCGUGGAACACAUUCCGGCUAUUUUGAAGCUGUCUUUGCUUGAUUCCUAACUUCUCCAUGGUAUCUUUGUACAGGAUGUUGAUGCUACUGCCUCCGCCUAUCAGUACUUGCGAGAAGCGAGCGGCCCGCCUAUCUGUGGCCAGGGUGGCACUCAAAACCAGGGCGUAGGAGCCCGGAUUCGGCAUCACCUCUGGGUGAUCAGCUCUGCUCCAACUGAUAGGCUUCUCGGACCAAUGCAUAAACUCUGGAGUAUCUGAUGCUACUGCAUUUACUUCUUGCUGCUGCAGCCGCCUGCUGCGUCGAUCAUCAGCCACACUGGUGAACACCACAUAGGCUCCAUGCUCUUCUGGGUACUCAUCUCGUACUGCGCCGACUGGCCGGGCAGCCGGCUGCUGGGGCGGCGGUGGAGGCGGCGGCCCAGCAGGCGGGGGAGGAAGGAGGCCGUCUCCCUGGGCGAUUCUGGUGAGCCAGUAGCACUUUCGGGUGGUAUGGUUUGACGGCUUCGCGCCGCUGUGGAACUUGCAGGGACCAUCUAGAGUCAGCUCGUAAGAGAAGGCUGGCAACGAGUUGGACUUGCCGCCUUUCUGUCGCUUGGUCGGAGGCUGCCCCUUCGGCUGCUGGUCUUUGACUGUCGCCACCUGCCGACUGCUGGAAGUCGGCUGUGAGGCCUUGCGCUUGUUAUCGUUCUGUUGUUGCUGCCUACUGGUGUCUCCAGCCGGAGUUCUGGGAGCCUGAGGGGCCACUUUGCCAGUCGCAUUAACUUGAAUCUCCGUCUUCAUGGAGGAGUCGGUUGUGGCGUACUUGUCUGCUAUGAUCAGCAGCUCGUCGAGGGUCUCCGGCUCAUCGCAGAGGAGCCUGUGCUUGAGGAGUGUGCCUUCUUUGCACUCGGCGGUGAAGUAUUCGAUAGCCUGCACCUCGUGCACGCCCUCGCAGGAGUUCCGAAGCUCAGCCCAGCGCGUGAGGUAGUCGCGUGUUGACUCGUCGGGGCCUUGCACGCACAAGGAAAGCUGGCAAGGUUUGGGAGGUCGCUUGUACGUGCUCGUGAAGUUGUGUAUGAAGGCCUCGGUGAAGUCGACCCAGCUGUUGAUGCUGCGGGGCUUCAGACUGUUCAACCAUGUCCGGGCCGUGCCCUGGAGCAUGAGUGGAACAUAUGUGUUGCCGUUCGCUAUGUUGACGGCUGUGGAGUAAUCAACUAGCCAGUCCUCCGGCUUCACGGAGCCGGUGUACUUGGGCGUGUCUCGGGGGAGCGUGAACCCUUUGGGAAAGGGCUCGUCUCGGGUGCGGGGACCGAAACAGGGCAGACACAACUCGGCUUCUUCUUCCAGCGCCAGGGAUCGAUGGAGUCGGUCGAUCCGGUGGCGGGCGUCAUUCUCUCCGACUCCCUCUCGGCGGCCAAGGCGGCCACCGAGAGUCGGAUGCUCAACGGGUGGCGGGGAGACUCGCCUUUCUCUUCGUGGUGGAGGAGGCAAAUAGUCGCCCUGCCGUUCCACUGCUCUCGGGCGGCCGUCUUGGUCACGCUCGAUGGUGAUGCGAGUCCGACUGUGGCUGACAGCCGGCUCUUUGUCUUUUCUUCUACGGACUCCGCCAGUCGGCAUCCGAGACGUCGCGCCCUGAUCUCGGCGGGGAGGCAGGUCGUCAUUUGGUUGCUGUGGCGCCUCUGUGCGGCCGCCGGCUGCAUUCUGCGCGGCAGCCGCGUCGAGGAGCUGCUGGACUCGCUCCGUCAUCAGGCGGCGCUCUUCGCCUUCGAAGUUUUUCAGCUCGUCAGUCGCCGCCUGGGCAGCGCGGAUGUUCUCCGCAGGCGUGGCGUACACGGGGCGAUUGGCCCCGAACAGGUUGGCAAUGGCCACGCCGCGCUGCUGGACCGCGCCUAGGCGACUAGGCCCAGUCGGAGCUGGCGAGUCGCCCACAGCGCGAUCCAUGUCGCGCUGGUAGGCUUCUGACAAGCGCCUCAUGCUUGCCAGCUUCUUCGCGCCUUCGAUGAUCUGAAGGCGGCGCGCCUCCAGCGUCUCGGCGUCAGCGUCCUCCGGAAUAGGCGCGGUCAGGUCCCGUAGAGCUGCAUCGAGUGGGUCAUGAGCUCCCUCGCCGGAGCGCUCGCCAUGACUAAUGACGAGCACCUCCGUGACGGUGCUUCCGCCGCUCUCCUUGUGAGGGAGCGGCUCGUCGUAGACCACCACAUUGGUGGGGAACGCGUCGAGCGGCGCGGCGUCGGAGUCGACCAGCAUCGGGUCGGUGGAGCCUACGGACUCCAAGUCGACAGCAGGCUCGCCGGUGACGUGGAGUUGGUCGAGGAGGCCCGCGAGGAGGCUCUCAGGGCCGCCCGUGCCUGCGUCGGACGCAUGCUCGUCGGAGAGGCGAACCUCGCCGACAAGUUCGGCGAGGCAGCUGGCUGCGCAGGCGGCCUCAGCGCCGCGCAGCGCGUCGAUGCAGACUCCGUCUGGCGAGCCUGGCUGGCUGUGCUCGCCAGGGAGGAAAAGGGUUCCCGUCCAGAACAGAUCUCCGGAUGACGGUGCACCUCGCCCCACGGUGGGCGCCAAAUGUCGGGGGUUGGGUGCGACAUAUGCCAAAGGAUGGCUUAUCAUGGUGGGGGCGAGUAGAACGUCGCCGGUGCCUGGAAACGGGAUGAGGCGAAGACAUGCACGCCGGCGGAUCUUACCCAGCUUCAGGGCUCUCCGAGGAGAUAACACCCCUACUGCUGCUCUACGGGGUCUCCGCAUGGUCACUAAGGCAAAGUGAGUACAAGGGUGCUCCUUGAGCUAUUACUGGAGGUAGGAGAAGGCAAGGCUAGCUCUCUCCUUCCUAUGUGAUCUGGUCUAGUGCUAAUGGAUUCGAACCCUUUGCAUGGGUGCCCUGGGGGGGGGAUUAUAUAGGCCUACCCCCCAGGGGUACAAUGGUAAAUCCGGCUGGACGCGGGUCCUAGCCGUCAGUCUCUCAGGCCGCCGUCUUCUCCGUCGACUGCUGGGGCCCGCCGACUAGUGGGUCUCGCCGACUUGCCUGGUACGGAGCCGACAGCCCUUUUCUGCCGCGGGCGGGUCUUGCCGGCUGCGGAUUACUGUAGCCGCGCUUCUAAUGAUGAUGGCUUGGUCAUGGGGUCAUGGCAGCAGUGCCGCCGCCCGACGGGCGAUCACUGUUGCCAUUCCCCGUCGCGUCUGGUUAAUGGCAUGGGGGGUCGUGGGAGAGGCCAGCCGACUCCGGGGAGCCGACUCCCAAUGGGUCCGUCUUCUGGUGCUAUCACCGUCUUCUGCACUCCCGCUGACCGGCGGGACCCGCCGUCUCUGGGUCGUACAGACAGGCCGUCGUGGGUACAGGGCUCCGCCCGCAGGGGCUGAUGUCAGGGCUGGCAUGGCAACAGUGCCGCGCCGGACGGAGAUCUCCGUCGGUACGGCACACUGUGGCCAUGCUUGCCCUCGAUAAACGGGGCGGGAACGAGCCGCGCGGCAGCCGUUCCCCAUCCCGUCCAUUAUUGCGAAGGUACGGGGUGGUUGGAGUCGCGGGCCGACUCCCCAUAGCCGACUUCUCUGGAAGUCGCAGGCCAGGAGUCGGCUUAACUUGGAGUCGCCUCUGGGACUUGGCUUAUCUUGGAGUCGCCUCUGGACUCGGCUUAACUUGGAGUCGCCUCUGGGACUCGGCUUAUCUUGGAGUCAGCUCUGGACUUGGCUUAUCUUGGAGUCGCCUCUGGGACUCGGCUUAUCUUGGAGUCGCCUCUGGGACUCGGCUUAUCUUGGAGUCGCCUCUGGGACUCGAGGGGCGCAGCCUGCCCCGAUGUCUUGAAAGGUUCUGGGACUCGAGUUAGCCUACCUGUGGCCCAUUACUCCGACACGCACCAGAUACAGGUAUGCCACUAUUGGCCAUAUUACUAAUGGCGCACCUAGUGUGUGAUGUGCCAUUACUAGUUUUGAAAAAAAGAUAAAAAAAUUGUUAGCAGUGGCGCACCAGGGGAAGUUGCGCCAUUACUAGUUAACUAGUAAUGGCGCACUAUCCACUGGUGCGCCACUACUAACAUGUUAUUUUUUUUCAAAACUAGUAAUGGCGCACCACACACCAGGUGCGCCAUUACUAACUUUCUGAGGUGGCCAAAAAAUUGACCAAAUGCACCCCCCUGUGGACCGUCUUUUUUGUUUAAAAUAAAAUAAAAUAAAAUGAUAGAAAUGUCAAAAAAUAAAAGAAAAUAAGAUUCCCAUGUGAUAUGUGGUCUAGUUGUUAGCAAAAUUGAAUUUUCGGCUUUUUUGCAAAAUCUCUCGAGAAUUUGUAAAAUGGGCAUAAAUUUUGCAUACGAACUCCGAUGAAAAAGUUUUUUAUAUGAAAAACCAUCUACUCGAAAAGUUAUAUCCGAAUUCAACUGGGGGAACCCCGUUGACGAUUUUUAGAAUCCUUAAAAACCUAACAGAAAAAAAGUUACGGGGCUUUCAAGAUCUGGAGAGGCAAAAUAAUUCAAAAAAUCAAACCCAGUAAUGGCGCACCUGCCAUGGUGUGCCAUUACUAUCUUCCCACCUUCAAAAUUCAAACUAUAUCAAAAAAUAAAAAAAAUUAGUAAUGGCGCACCUGCCCAAGGUGCGCCAUUACUAUCUUCCCGCCUUCAAAAUUCAAAAUAAAUCAAAAAAUAAAAAAAGUUAGUAAUGGCGCACCUGCCCAUGGUGCGCCAUUACUAUGCCGUAUAUAUGGCUGGGCGGGGUCCUCUCCUCCUUACCUCUUCAUUUCUCUCCUCCACUCCACCUCUCCUCCACUCCAUCUUCUCCUCUCCUCCACUCCAUCUCCCCUCCUCCUCUCCGGCGCCCUCCUCCUCCUCCACCUCCUCCUCUCCCGUGACUUCCUCCUCCCUCCUCNNNNNNNNNNNNNNNNNNNNNNNNNNNNNNNNNNNNNNNNNNNNNNNNNNNNNNNNNNNNNNNNNNNNNNNNNNNNNNNNNNNNNNNNNNNNNNNNNNNNNNNNNNNNNNNNNNNNNNNNNNNNNNNNNNNNNNNNNNNNNNNNNNNNNNNNNNNNNNNNNNNNNNNNNNNNNNNNNNNNNNNNNNNNNNNNNNNNNNNNNNNNNNNNNNNNNNNNNNNNNNNNNNNNNNNNNNNNNNNNNNNNNNNNNNNNNNNNNNNNNNNNNNNNNNNNNNNNNNNNNNNNNNNNNCGACCUCCUCGUCCUCUCCGGCGAUGUAGGUGAGCUCCUCUUCGGUGACCUCCUCCUCCUCCUCUCCGACGAUGUAGGCGAGCUCCUCUCCGGUAACCUCCUCCUCCUCCCUCCUCUCCUCCUCACAGUCUCUCCUCGGCCCUCCUCUCCGGCGAACUCCUCUUCGGCAAAAGAACAUACAAGAUCUAAAAACGAGAACAAAAUUUGAAAAAAUAUCAUGCAAAAAAACGAGCAAAAAAAAGGGCAACAAAAUCACGAUCCAGAUCCAGAUUCAAAAUUCAAAAUAGUAAUGGUGCACCAUGGGGGUUAGAAUAUGCGCCAUUACUAUUUUCCCGCUUCCAAAUUCAAAAAAAAAUCGACAAAAAGUAAUAAAAAAAGUUACCAGUGGCGCACCUGAAAAGGUAGUAAUGGCGCACUACCAGGUGCGCCACUAUUAUCUGGUAUACUAAUGGCACACCAGAGGUGCGCCAUUAGUACUUGUUACUAGUGGCGUGGUGAUAGUGGCGCAACUAUAGUGCGCCAUUAAUGGCAAAAAUAGGUGCGCCACUAACAGGACUUUUCCUAGUAGUGUGGGUUGCAGAUCAAAUUAUGUUAUUUGCACCAAAAAUUCAUAAAUAUUCAGAAAAAAUCCUAUUAAAUUUUCAGAGCAUUUUGAGAACUUUUAUUUUUGGGUCAAUUUUUUUAUUGCAAGGGAAAUUCAGAAAACAAACAAAACAUGGCAUUUUAUUUUAUUUAACUAAUAAAAACAGGAAAAAGGUAGGGACAGAAGGUAGUGCUCACUAAAUUCAUCAACUUCAUACCUAUCAAAAAUGAUUCAUUAGUAAGGUUGAUCAAGUCUUAUUAACAACCAUUUUCGAUUAGCAUGAAACUGAAGAACUUUUGUAAAUCACUAAGUUACCUCAACGGGGAUAUGAAUGUCCCCAACAAUAAGCAUUUCAUAUUUCUUUUUAACAGUAGGUAGAGGUAGCUGAAAACUUCCAAUAGUGAUUGUCGGAGAUUUUUCAAAAACAUUGAUACCAUUCACUUGGAAUUGUUUCUUCGAGAAGUGCACCAUAUGCUCAUUACCAUUGAUAUGAAAAGUGACCUUGCUUUUAUUGCAAUCAAUAACGGCCCCUGUAGUAUUCAAGAAGGGUCUACCGAGGAUGAUCGACAUGUUGUCGUCCUUGGGCAUGUCAAGUAUAACAAAAUCAGUCAAAAUAGUAACAUUAGCAACAACAACGGGCACAUACUCACAAAUACCAAUAGGUAUGGUAGUUGAUUUGUCAGCCAUUUGCAAAGAUAUUUCAGUAGGCGUGAGUUUAUUCAAAUCAAGUCUUUUAUAUAAAGAGAAAGGCAUAACACUGUCAGCAUUCUGGGAACCAGGGUACCCAGACCUGCCUGCCUGCGGCCCACAGCGUGGCUCCAUCGAUGGCCUGGUACGGCCCAUCUACAACCACGACAAGACAAGACCCUCGCGAGGGGCCAAGCCUCACGAGGGGGGUGACAUCAAGACCUCCUGAGGGAGUGGCCUCCUUAGGUGGCCUUCGGGACAGAGCAGAGAUUUCUAUGCAAGACCCUACCUCACGAGGCUGAAAUGACAUCAGCCAUGAUGACUAAGGCCAGGCGUGCGCCAGCGGGCGCAGAGCAGCAGGUUUCCUCUUUGGUGCAAAGGAGGCGAGCGUAGGUCGGGAUUUCCAAGGAAUCAGCAAAAGGUUGCCAUUUGCAUGCAACAAGACUAGGACCGCCAGAACGGCAGGGUGGAUGUCAUCGCCGAGCCCACCACAACGUCACGAUAAGAAGCACCUUUCGUCAGGAUCAGAUGUACUUCUUAUACCCUUUCAAAUUUGCCAUUGUGGGAUCCCUUCCCGCCAAAGUUUUGGAGGAAGAGGACCAAGGCCACUAUAAAUAUAACCUAACCAUCGUAGAAGGCGGCGGGUGAUUAGCUCAUCGAAUCCCCAAGAGAUCAUCACAAGAACAAGCCUUCCAAGGCUGUUCUUCCACUUGUACUAGUUCAUCUUCAGUCCCUCACGAGGCUAAUCCACCACAAAGCAGGAGUAGGAUAUUACACCGCAAGGUGGCCUGAACCUGGGUAAACUGUCGUGUCUUUCUCCUCCUUGUUCAUCGAGCUAGGUCGUGAGAGCAGCAGAUCGAUCGGCUUGAGAGGUUGAGUUCUUCGCACAUGCCCCUGAGUUCGAACCUUUCUUGGGUCCGCGGAGCCCGGAAUCUAACAUUUGGCGUGCAAGGUAGGGGGCGUGUCAGAGGUCGGCAUCUUCAUCAACCACGCUCCGCUCUCACCACUCGAUAUCCAUGGCGGGAACAGCUCCUUCCGCUCAUCCACCGGGAACGUUCAGAGGCGUCAUGGGUUUCCGGGCCUUUCCCCCCGCCUUGCGACAUGUGCGGUGGCCUCCGAAGUUCAGGCCAGAGCUGCCGCCGUGCUACGACGAUGCGAUGGACCCUGUGGGGUUUCUGCAGGUGUACGAGGAAGCCAUCUGGGCGGCGGGCGGAGACGACAAGGCCAUGGCAAAUUGGCUCCCUAUGGCACUCGUUGGCAUGCCUCUCACCUGGUUGCUCAACUUGCUGGAGUCCUCGGUGGCUUCAUGGAAGGAGCUACGUGAGUUAUUCAACAUACGCUUUGCGGUUCCGACACACCAUGCCGUUGCGUCCAUCCUCGGCGGGUCACAGGUGCCAGCUUCAAAUCGCCACCCCAAGCAGUUCUUCUGUCAGAUGGGGGCUCCUUCGUCCCUGUGAGGGGCCCCUCCGGGCUGGGCGGCGCCCCAGGAAGACCUCACCUUCGACUCCAGAGAUCACCCCAAGACCACGGCUGGUUCCAGUGCACUACCCAUGCUCUGCACCCCCACCAUCUGCAACAUAGCGGUUAGCAGGACUCUCAUCGAUGGCAGCGCCGGCCUGAACGUCCUCUCGGUGGAGGCGUUCGGCCUGCUUCAUGUGCCUCACGACCGACUCCUUCCCACCAAGCCGUUCUCUAGAGUGGUCAGUGGCUCCACCUGCCUCGUGGGGCAGAUUCACCUCCCCGUCACCUUCGGAACGUGCGACAACUACCGCACCGAGCUCAACGACUUUGAUGUCGUGUGCAUCGGGCUCCCGUACAACGCCAUCCUCAGUUACCCGGCCCUCACCAAGUUCAUGGCGGGGACUCACCCCGGCUACAACAUCAUGAAUAUGCCGGGAAGCAGCGGCGUCCUCACCAUGGCGGGAGACAUCGGGGAUGCACUGACAGCCCUCAGGCUCACCUUCAAGGCUAUGGCGGAUACACGACCAAGUGCGGAGAGUGCUCCGGAGGGCCCGGGGGCUGCGCCGGCAAAGAAGAAGCCGUUGUUCUCUCAAGACCGGGCUCAAAUGAAGCAAGUACCGAUCGACGAGGGCGCGGAGUUAGGAGCUACCUUCAGCAUAGGCGCAGGCCUCCCCCGAGCCCAAGAGGAGGUGCUGGUCAGCUUCCUCCAUGCGAACAAGGAUAUAUUUGCCUGGCAAGCAACAGACAUGGUAGGAAUCCCUCGGGGGGUGAUCGAACACCACCUCAUGGUGUGCCUCCACGCGAGCCCAUGAAACAGAAGGCGCAGCAGCAAGCCCCGGAGAAGCAGUCGUUCAUCAUCCAGGAGACCCACAAGCUACAGGAGGCCGGCAUUACCCGGGAAGUGCGGCACCCAGAGUGGUUGGCAAACCCAGUCAUCAUCCCCAAGAAGGGCGGGAAACAACACAUCUGCGUUGACUUCACGAGCCUAAACAAAGCUUGCCCUCAGGAUCCAUUCUCUCUUCCUCACAUUGACUAGAUCGUUGACUCCACUGCCGAGUGCAAUCUACUAUGCUUCUUGGACGCCUUCUCAGGCUAUCAUCAAAUCAAGAUAGUGGUAGAAGAUGUAGAGAAGACGACCUUCCUGACAUCGUGUGGGGUGUAUUGCUACACCUGCAAGCCGUUUGGGUUGCACAAUGCUGGAGCAACCUUCCAGCGGUUGAUGCACAUCGCUUUGGGAAAGCAGCUUGGAAGGCAAGAACCCUUGUUGGAUAUCUUGAGGAGACAUUCAUCAACCUGCGUGAGGUGAAGCUGCGGCUUAAUCCUGAGAAGUGCAUAUUCGGUGUCCCGUCUGGCAAGUUGUUGGGGUUCCUGGUGUCGCACAGAGGAAUUGAGGCCAACCCGGAGAAGGUCAAUGCAAUAGAAAGGAUGAGCCCGACUAAAACUCUCAAGGAAAUGCAGAAGUUGGCAGGCUGUGUUACCUCGCUUGGGCGCUUCAUCUCCAAGCUAGGCGAGCGCGCCCUCCCUUUCUUCAAGCUGAUGAAGAGGAAGAGCUUGUUCGAAUGGACUCCAGAAGCCAACGCAGCUUUUCAAUACCUCAAGAAGUACCUCACCAGCCUACCGGUGAUGGUGGUGCCUCGUCCUCUCAAGCCCCUAGUGCUUUACCUGGCCGCCACGCUUCGCUCAGCCAGCGCGGCGCUAGUGGCAGUCCACGAGGAGCAUGCAACCAAGGGUGCACAGCGGGGAACCACACACGCAUUCAAUAAGCCACGACCUCAGGACGGUGCACCUGAGGCCGCUGCCGAACCAUCAGGAGAUGGCCCCCCUGAGGUGGCGGCCCCUGAAGCUCGAGUGCCCCCCUGAGGACGGGCUUCCUGAGGCUCCAUCAUCCCAAGAGUAGCAAGACUCGGCGGACACCUCCUCCCAAGUCGAGCACCCCGUCUACUUCGUCAGCACCAUGCUGCGUGACGGGCGGGCAUGCUACCUGAUGACCCACAAGUAUAGGGGAUCUAUCGUACUCCUUUCGAUAAGUAAGAGUGUCGAACCCAAUGAGGAGCAGAAGGAAAUGAUAAGCGGUUUUCAGUAAGGUAUUCUCUGCAAGCAUUGAAAUUGUAGGUAACAGAUAAUUUUGUGAUAAGAUAAUUUGUAACGGAUAACAAGCAACGAAAGAAAUAAGGUGCAGCAAGGUGGCCCAAUCCUUUUUGUAGCAAAGGAUAAGCCUCGACAAGUUCUUAUAAUGAGAAAAGCACUCCCGAGGACACAUGGGAAUUAUCGUCAAGCUAGUUUUCAUCACGCUCAUAUGAUUCGCGUUCGUUACUUUGAUAAUUUGAUAUGUGGGUGGACCGGUGCUUGGGUACUGCCCUUUCUUGGACAAGCAUCCCACUUAUGAUUAACCCCUAUCGCAAGCAUCCGCAACUACAAAAGGAGUAUUAAGGUAAACCUAACCAUAGCAUGAAACAUAUGGAUCCAAAUCAGCCCCUUACGAAGCAACUUAUAAACUAGGGUUUAAGCUUCUGUCACUCUAGCAACCCAUCAUCUACUUAUUACUUCCCAAUGCCUUCCUCUAGGCCCAAAUAAUGGUGAAGUGUCAUGUAGUCGACGUUCACAUAACACCACUAGAGGAAAGACAACAUACAUCUCAUCAAAAUAUAGAACGAAUACCAAAUUCACAUGACUACUAAUAGCAAGACUUCACCCAUGUCCUCAGGAACAAACGUAACUACUCACAAAGCAUAUUCAUGUUCAUAAUUAGAGAGGUAUAAAUAUGCAUUAAGGAUCUGAACAUAUGAUCUUCCACCAAAUAAACCAACUAGCAUCAACUACCAGGAGUAAUCAACACUACUAGCAACCCACAGGUACCAAUAUGAGGUUUGGGUACAAAGAUUGGAUACAAGAGAUGAACUAGGGUUUGAGAGGAGAUGGUGCUGGUGAAGAUGUUGAUGGAGAUUGACCCCCUCCCGAUGAGAGGAUCGUGGUGAUGACGAUGGUGAUGAUUUCCCCCUCCCGGGGGGAAGUUUCCCCGGCAGAACGGCUCCGCUGGAGCCCUAGAUUGGUUCCGCCAAGGUUCCGCCUCGUGGCGGCAGAGUUUCAUCCCGUAAGCUUGCUUAUGAUUUUUUUCAGGGUAAAAGACUUCAUAUAGCAGAAGAUGGGCACCGGAAGGCCACAAGGGGGCCCAUGAGGCAGGGGGCGCACCUGUAAGGGUGGGCGCGCCCCCACCCUUGUGGCCAGGGUGUGGGCCCCCUCUGGUACUUCUUUUGCUCAAUAAUUAUCAUUAAUUCCAAAAAUGACUUUCGUGGAGUUUUAGGACUUUUGGAGCUGUGCAGAAUAGGUCUCCAAAAUUUGCUCCUUUUCCAUCCCAGAAUCCCAGCUGCCGGCAUUCUCCCUCUUCAUGUUAAACCUUGUAAAAUAACAGAGAAUAGCCAUAAGUAUUGUGACAUAACGUGUAAUAACAGCCCAUAAUGCAAUAAAUAUCAAUAUAAAAGCAUGAUGCAAAAUGGACGUAUCAACUCCCCCAAGCUUAGACCUCGCUUGUCCUCAAGCGGAAGCUGAUAUCGAAAAAUAUGUCCACAUGUUAGAGAUAGAGGUGUCGAUAAAAAUAAAAUACGGACAUGAGGGCAUCAUGAUCAUUCUUAUAACAACAACAUAAAUAUAUUUUGUCAUAUGAUUUCUUAUGCUCAAGUAACAAUCUAUUCACAAUGUCAAGUAUGGUUCACGAACUUCAUUGAGAACUAACAAACUAUAAUCUCAGUCAUUGAAACAAUUCCAAUUUAUCAUAACAUCGAAAAGAUUCAAGAAUAGAGCUUUUCAGCAAAUCCACAUACUCAACUAUCAUUUAGUCUUCUACAAUUGCUAACACUGACCCAAUACUUAUGGUUCUGGAUUUUUAGUCGGACACAGAGAAAGAUAGGGGCUUAUAGUUUUGCCUCCCAACGUUUUACCUCAAGGGUAAUGUCAACAAUAAUAUUUCAUGCUAACUUACAUCCAAUUGGAUAUAUAUAUAUAUCAGGAUCUUUCCAACACGAGGUGCUUGUCAAAGGAUAAAAUAAAAAGGGAAAGGUGAAGAUCACCUUGACUCUUGCAUAAUGUAAAAGACAUAAAGUAAAAGAUAGGCCCUUCGGAGAGGGAAGCAGAGGUUGUCAUGUGCUUUUUGGGUGGAUGCACAAAAUCUUAAUGCAAAAGAAAGUCACUUUAUAUUGCCACUUGUGAUAUGAACCUUUAUUAUGCAGUCCGUUGCUUUUAUUACUUUCAUAUCACACGAUCGUAUAAAGCUUAUUCUCUCCGCACUAAUAAGUCAUACAUAUUUAGAGAGCAAUUUUUAUUGCUUGCAACAUGACAACUUACUUGAAGGAUCUUACUCAAUCCAUAGGUAGGUAUGGUGGACUCUCAUGGCAAAAACUGGGUUUAAGGAUAUUUGGAAGCACAAGUAGUAUCUCUACUUGGUGCAAGGAAUUUGUCUAGCAUUAGGGGGAAAGGCAAGCUCAACAUGUUUGAAUGAUCCAUGACAAUAUACUUUAAUUGAAAUGUGAGAAAACAUAACCCAUUACGUUGUCUUCCUUGUCCAACAUCAACUCUUUAGCAUGUCAUAGUUUAAUGAGUGCUCACAAUCAUAAAAGAUGUCCAAGACAGUAUAUUUAUAUGUGAGAACCUCUCUUUCUUU
rnacentral:lncRNA from 1 species